GUCCAAUAUCACAGAACCAUGCACCACUACAAAUUCCAAAAUAAAUACAUAAUGUCCAAAUCUUAGAGAAAAGGGUUUGAUAGUUCUGACAUCAAUAAGCAUCCCGACCACAAGAAGAUCUGCAUACCAAUAGACUCAACAACCCCAACUAAUGAACCAACCUCACAUAUAUGUCACGCCUCUUUGGGCAAUCCUUUUACUCUAAUUGACAUAGACCACAUUCUCCCCACUUGUUCCACUUCAUUAGUCGCAUUAUC
rnacentral:lncRNA from 1 species